ACCAGGCAUGGUGGCGUGUGCCUGUAGUCCCAGCUACUAGGGAGGCUGAGGUGGGAGGAUCGCUUGAGCCCAGGAGUUCUGGGCUGUAGUGCGCUAUGCCAAUCGGGUGUCCGCACUAAGUUCGGCAUCAAUAUGGUGACCUCCCGGGAGUGGGGGACCACCAGGUUGUCUAAGGAGGGGUGAAUCGGCCCGGGCCGGAAACGGAGCAGGUCAAAACUCCCAUGCUGAUCAGUAAUGGGAUCGCGCCUGUGAAUAGCCACUGCACUCCAGCCUGGGCAACAUAGUGAGACCCCGUCCCU
rnacentral:SRP_RNA from 1 species